rnacentral:rRNA from 1 species
CGGUCUCAGUUCGGAUUGGAGGCUGAAACUCGCCUCCAUGAAGUUGGAUUCGCUAGUAAUCGCGCAUCAGCCAUGGCGCGGUGAAUACGUUCCCGGGCCUUGUACACACCGCCCGUCAAGCCAUGGGAGUUGGGGGUGCCUGAAGUACGUGACCGCAAGGAGCGUCCUAGGGCAAAACCGAUGACUGGGGCUAAGUCGUAACAAGGUAGC